UACGAAGGGUGCAAGCGUUAAUCGGAAUUACUGGGCGUAAAGCGUGCGUAGGCGGUUCGUUAAGUCAGAUGUGAAAGCCCCGGGCUCAACCUGGGAACUGCAUUUGAUACUGGCGAGCUAGAGUGUGGUAGAGGGUGGUGGAAUUCCCGGUGUAGCGGUGAAAUGCGUAGAGAUCGGGAGGAACAUCCGUGGCGAAGGCGGCCACCUGGACCAACACUGACGCUGAGGCACGAAAGCGUGGGGAGCAAACAGG
rnacentral:rRNA from 1 species